GGCCCUGGUCUGGUGAGUGGCCCCUGUUCUCCCCGCGGCGGCCGGCCCAGCGCAGAGCCCAGCGUGAGUCCCAGCGUGGACCCCGGCACAGCACAACCAGCAUGCACGACGGGGCAGCCCUGGGCCCAGUGACAGGGGCAGAAAUCCAGAGUGUGCAGGAGGUUGCAGAUCAUGGACUAGAGAGCCAGCCUGUUUCUGCACAAGGAUCAACGUCAAGAAGGACGCGUAUCAAAAAAGUUAAUAGUGAUCCUGAUGCCUGGGUGGUGAGCCUUGAGGUGACUUCCACUCUCUUCUGUUUAUUUUUCUGCAUUAUCUGAAUGUUUUCCUGCAAACAAGGGUUGCCUUUAUAAAGCCAUUUUCAUCUUGGAGAAAAAGAAGCAUGCACUUGAAUGGUCCCCUAAUUGGCUCCCCACAGCUUACAAGCAGAGCAUCCCAGCAUCCCGAGGAGGCAUCAGGAGACUUCCCCGAGUGGCAUGCCGGCUCCUCCUCCUCACCAACCUCGCCCUGCACCUGCUCAUCCCCAAAUUCACCGGGCCUUUGCACCCUCUGUCUUUGCUGCCUCCGUGCUCUGUCUCCUUCCCAGCUUCAUCUGUGUUGGGGGCGCUGGGUCUUCUGGAUGGGGGGCCUGGGGGCCGCUCACCCACCCUUCCCAGCACGGCAAAGGACUCUGGCAUAUGGCUUAGGAAGAGAUAUUUGAGGGCGUGUGAACAGGACAGAGUAAAUUUUACACGAGAGCAACAGAAGCAAACCGGAAGAAAAGUCAUGCUGCCGCAGGAACACUUCAGUCCCCACGGCCACGUGACUCCUUGUUCGCCGAGGACUCCCACUCACAGGCCUAGCGGACCCACGCAGAGCUGGCUCCUGGUGCCCCCUCCUGCUCUCCUCAGGCCUCAGAGCCCCCAGCGCAACCCCGUCCACGAGAGGAGCUCUCAGGAGUGGACUGCAGCACCUGCCGGAGCCCUAGCCUCUGGCCACUGACGCUUGUGGGUGGUCACCAGCUGGUGACGUCUGCCUGCCUUCCAGAGCCACCGAGGGAGGGACCCUGGAGUCCCCACCGCAGGGGUCCACCGCCCGCCCAUGUGCGGGUCACACGUUCCUCCGAGCCACAGCAGGGGCGCACGGCAGGAGGUUGUCCCCCUCGCCCACGAAGGAGGCUGGGGCAAGCCAUCCAAGAGCUCCCACUUAGGAGAGUCUGGCUGGUUUCUGGGAGCACUCGCUCCGGCAUCUGCACUUCUCACCAGGCAACGGCAGUUUGCCCAAAUGCUCUUACCGGGCACCGUGACUCUUCCGGUUCAUCUGCCGCUCGAGCCACAGUGAUGGAGGCGCAGUGCCCGGCACCAGCGGGAGGACCUGUCCCCUCCACUCCGGUCACAGCCUGCGCGAGACCCACCUCGGCUGCGUCCACGGGGCUCCCCACAGCAGCUCAUUGUGGGUGGGAUGCAGGUGGCUUUUGUGUUCUUCGCUUUUUCUUAUGUUUUCCCAAGUUUCUAGGAUAAAAAUGUCUUAUUUUUAUGAUCAGAAAAGAAAAAAAGCAAGAUGAGGCUUCAUGGUGUUGGAGACUUACCACAUCCCUCACAGUCCUGUGGGGAAAGCCUCGUGUCACUGGCUGGUGGUCUCAUGGCCUAGCCCCAGAGACUGGAAUGAGCCCCCCAGCAGGCAUGGUGGCCUUGCCUCCUCCCACUGAGGCCACCACUCCCUGCCUGUGGCUGGUCAGCAGUGGGGGCAGCCGGCUGGGUCCACCCCACACCGCUGCCCUCCACACAGGAGGGAUCUGCUGUCCUCUCCACCUGCUGCAACCCUAGAGCCCUGAUCCAGUCGAGGUGGGGGUUCCCCCAAUAAGUGGACCCAGUGGCAGGCUGCCUCUCUCUCUCUCUCUCUCUGCCCAGGACUCAGGUGGGAAAGCCCCAGCCCCUCCUUCUAGGGAGCGUGUGGCACAAACUUUGUUGCUUCCUCUGUGAUGCCUGGUGACCCCGAACCC
rnacentral:lncRNA from 12 species